rnacentral:misc_RNA from 1 species
UCUCCGUAGGUGAACCUGCGGAGGGAUCAUUACAGAGUUCAUGCCCUAACGGGUAGAUCUCCCACCCUAUGUUAUUAUUACUUUGUUGCUUUGGCGGGCCGUUAGGCUCCGGCCCGACUACCGGCCCCGGCUGGUAAGCGCCCGCCAGAGGACCCAAAACCCUGAAUAUUAGUGUCGUCUGAGUACUAUAUAAUAGUUAAAACUUUCAACAACGGAUCUCUUGGUUCUG